GGCUCCUACGGGACGCAGCAGUGGGGAAUAUUGGGCAAUGGGCGCAAGCCUGACCCAGCGACGCCGCGUGAGGGGAGACGGUCUUCGGAUUGUAAACCUCUUUCAGCAGGGAAGACAAAAGGACGGUACCUGCAGAAGAAGCCACGGCUAACUACGUGCCAGCAGCCGCGGUAAUACGUAGGUGGCAAGCGUUAUCCGGAAUUACUGGUUGUACUGGGUGUGUAGGCGGUGCUUC
rnacentral:rRNA from 1 species